rnacentral:lncRNA from 1 species
GAGUGGGUCACGUUCAGUGAAAUAUACUUCUAUAUUUCACUUGCAUGCCAUACCAGCGUCUCCAUGCUCUUUGGUUAAGAGGACAACUAACCUAUAUGGCAUACAAUGACCAACACUUGAUAUGUCUAUUAUCCUAGUAAUAGCAUAUUAUUUGGUCGCAAACUCAUUUAUGGACUAAACGAUAUAUCCUCCUAUAUCGAAUCAAAUAGUCAUAAGGACUUCAUCACAUAAC